UGCGUAGGGGGCUAGCGUUAUCCGGAAUUACUGGGCGUAAAGGGUGCGUAGGUGGUUUUUCAAGUCAGGAGUGAAAGGCUACGGCUCAACCGUAGUAAGCUCUUGAAACUGUGAAACUUGAGUGCAGGAGAGGAGAGUGGAAUUCCUAGUGUAGCGGUGAAAUGCGUAGAUAUGAGGAGGAACACCAGUUGCGAAGGCGGCUCUCUGGACUGUAACUAACACUGAGCCAAGAAAGCGUGGGGAGCAAACAGG
rnacentral:rRNA from 1 species